UCACAUUUGUCUAAACUUUCGACGAAGUG
rnacentral:sRNA from 1 species